rnacentral:rRNA from 1 species
CCUACGGGAGGCAGCAGUGGGGAAUAUUGCACAAUGGUGGGAACCCUGAUGCAGCAACGCCGCGUGGGUGAAGAAGUACUUCGGUAUGUAAAGCCCUGUCAGCAGGGAAGAAAAUGACGGUACCUGACCAAGAAGCCCCGGCUAACUACGUGCCAGCAGCCGCGGUAAUACGUAGGGGGCAAGCGUUAUCCGGAUUUACUGGGUGUAAAGGGAGCGUAGACGGCAAGGCAAGUCUGGAGUGAAAGCCCGUGGCUCAACCACGGGACUGCUUUGGAAACUGUGUUGCUGGAGUGCAGGAGGGGUAAGCGGAAUUGCUAGUGUAGCGGUGAAAUGCGUAGAUAUUAGGAGGAACACCGGUGGCGAAGGCGGCUUACUGGACUGUAACUGACGUUGAGGCUCGAAGGCGUGGGGAGCAAACAGGAUUAGAUACCCCGGUAGUC